GAUGAACGCUGCCAGAAUGCUUAACACAUGCAAGUCCACUUGAAUUUGGGUUUUUAACUUAGGUUUGGGUGGCGGACGGGUGAGUAACGCGUAAAGAACUUGCCUCACAGCUAGGGACAACAUUUGGAAACGAAUGCUAAUACCUAAUAUUAUGAUAAUAGGGCAUCCUAUAAUUAUGAAAGCUAUAAGCGCUGUGAGAGAGCUUUGCGUCCCAUUAGCUAGUUGGAGAGGUAACGGCUCACCAAGGCGAUGAUGGGUAGCCGGCCUGAGAGGGUGAUCGGCCACAAGGGGACUGAGACACGGCCCUUACUCCUACGGGAGGCAGCAGUGGGGAAUAUUGGACAAUGGACCGAGAGUCUGAUCCAGCAAUUCUGUGUGCACGAUGAAGUUUUUCGGAAUGUAAAGUGCUUUCAGUUGGGAAGAAACAAAUGACGGUACCAACAGAAGAAGUGACGGCUAAAUACGUG
rnacentral:rRNA from 1 species